CCUACGGGUGGCAGCAGUGAGGAAUAUUGGUCAAUGGACGAGAGUCUGAACCAGCCAAGUAGCGUGAAGGAUGACUGCCCUAUGGGUUGUAACCUUCUUUUAUAUGGGAAUAAAAUGUUCCACGUGUGGGAUUUUGUAUGUACCAUAUGAAUAAGGAUCGGCUAACUCCGUGCCAGCAGCCGCGGUAAUACGGAGGAUCCGAGCGUUAUCCGGAUUUAUUGGGUUUAAAGGGAGCGUAGGUGGAUUGUUAAGUCAGUUGUGAAAGUUUGCGGCUCAACCGUAAAAUUGCAGUUGAAACUGACGCCCUUGAGUGAGUGAGAAGUAAGCGGAAUGCGUGGUGUAGCGGUGAAAUGCAUAGAUAUCACGCAGAACGCCGAUUGCGAAGGCAGCUUACCGGCGCUCAACUGACGCUGAGGCACGAAAGUGCGGGUAUCGAACAGGAUUAGAUACCCCUGUAGUC
rnacentral:rRNA from 1 species